CGUCGUGCAGGCACAGUGGAUCCGGGCCGGGCAGCGCGCUGGGCUCAGCCGGCGUCCACCAGAACCGACGGGUCAUGUUCGCCUCGGCUGUGCUUCCUCGGUCUGCAGUGAUCCGGAACCCAGCACAGCAAAUACAGGUUUGGUGAAACUCUGGACAGAAAGCCAGCUCAAGUGACACUAGCAGCAGCACCACAAGUGGACUCGCUGGGUUGGAUCCUCAGGACAGCUGGAGCAGUACCUUCUGGGGCCAGGGAGAGAAGAAAUGUCUCACCACUAGUCGAGCUGUAUUCCACAGCCUAUUCUCUCCUCCUCACCUUAGCACAGUCCUGAAACUUCCCCUCAGUCUGUCUGGAGAGGUUGUGUAUUCAGUGUUUAAAAUGAUCAGUGACUCUCAGGGAUCAUCUAAAAACAGACUAUGCCCAUAGCCAGAAACUAAUCGCUCCUGUGGUGAUGACAUCAUAACGCAAGGCAUUGUGGGUGUUGUUUGUUACAGUCACCAUUUUUGGAGUAACCCUGCUGUGUUCGCAACAGUUCGACACAAUGACGGAGGAGGAGCAGCAAACUUGCAAUUCUGCUACCUGGCUACAUCUGUUUGGGGGGUGCAAGCAAAAUAUGUUUCUGACAUGCUUUUGUACACUGUGGGACCUGCAGGGGAAAUGGCACCAGUGCAGGUGAUGCCAAAUGCCUGAACUAACUCAUGAGGAAAGGACUGACCUGGACCCCACUGAAGGCAAUAGCAUUGAAGAGGGUGUGGGCAAAAUUGGGCAAUACUAUGAGCGAUUCUGUAUACUGCUUUAGCGGGUGCUGUUCUGGAGCACAUUUCUCCACUGGCUCAUUCCACUGCAGUGUUUUCACACUGCUGUGGACCGUUCCUGGCUGCUGCCAUGAGGCACUACACCUCCCCACACCUAUCUAUCUGUCUUAUCACCACUAAUUUAUUAUUAUCUCUAAACAUUUAUUUCUAUAAUAUUACAGUAUUCUGUUUUCAGGAUGUUCUAUUUGUGUACUGUGUACUUUUUAGAUUUUUUUGCGUAACGUUUACUUGUUUGUGCUGUGUAUAGGCCUACUAUAUUUGCACUUUGUCUGUUUGGCACUGCGUUUUUGCUGCUAUAAGUACCAGAAUUUCCACAUUUAACAGUUACGGUGCUUUGCCUUUGUGUAACAGUAUGGGUGCAGUAGCCUGCACUGCUGUCUUACUGAUCCCUGUAAGUACAGAUGCAAUUGUGAUGCCAUUGACACUUGAAGAUACCAUUUACUUUUGAAUGAUUUAUGAGUGGCCCUUACUGAUUUAUAAGUACCUCUGUACUCUCCGACAUCCUACUUGGGCCCUGGGAUUUGGGGUUGGACACAAAUGCUCCUCAUGGGUAAUAUUUUGCCUACUGUGGGAGGGCUCUUCAGUUAAUUUUGCCAAUUUGGGGGGGGGGAUCUCUCCCUUCGGCCCACAUACACAUUGGCCUCCUGGGAAAUUGCCCAGUAUGCCAGAUGGCCAGUCCAGCUAUGCUACUUUCGGGGGUCUGCAAGUACUAUUUGGCAGAAAAAAUCUGCAGCUAACAAUUUGUGAGUUUGAUUUUUCAGUAAGCAAAUGAAUAAAUGCAGAUAUGGAAGUAAACAUUUGGCAUUCUUCUAAGUUCAAAAUAUUUUUUUGUUUUAAAAUCAGAAAUGAUUCUACCUAAAGUUAGCCCUGCAUCUUGAUAUUCAUGCAGA